rnacentral:rRNA from 1 species
UAACCUGCCCUGUACAGGGGGAGUAACAGUCAGAAAUGACUGCUAAUACCGCAUAAGACCACAGCACCGCAUGGUGCAGGGGUAAAAACUACCGGUGGUACAGGAUGGACCCGCGUCUGAUUAGCUGGUUGGUGAGGUAACGGCUCACCAAGGCGACGAUCAGUAGCCGGCUUGAGAGAGUGAACGGCCACAUUGGGACUGAGACACGGCCCAAACUCCUACGGGAGGCAGCAUG